UGGUGUUUUUGAGAGUGGACCGGUUUUGUCCACUUUCAAGGCAUUACGAGUUCACGUUUUACGGCAGAAGCCAACAAGCGCCCUUGUUGUUUUUGAACAGAAGCCGACAAGUCCAUUUUAGCGAAUCAGU